rnacentral:lncRNA from 1 species
UCGACCUGAAGGCUCAGGCACGAACAAAGGAAAAGAAAAGCUGUUCGAAUGAGAUUUAGUAUGAGUUAAUGGUUAUAGUUAGUAAGACAAUGGAAUCUAUUGUCAGGUAUUGUAAGGAAUGUAUUUGAAGGUCACGUACCUGGGAAAGUAAACUUUGAUGUAUGUAAAUUAAGUUCGAAUUAUAGUAUUAUUAUUUAGUAUUAUUCAGCUUAAAGAAAUGGUAUCGUGGAGAACCGAGUUCGGGUUUCAAGUACCUGGAUUUGGGGUCGCCACAUGGCCAUUUGGUGUUUUGUUGUGGG